rnacentral:tRNA from 1 species
ACCUUCGUAGCGCAGGGGCACAAGCGUGUCAUCGAAACGCGAGGGUUGUGGGUUCGAUUCCCAUUCGGAGGUA